rnacentral:rRNA from 1 species
UAAUCACUUGUCUUUUAAAUGGAGACCUGUAUGAAAGGUUAAACGAGGGCUCAACUGUCUCCUUUUUCCAGUCAGUGAAAUUGAUCUCCCCGUGCAGAAGCGGGGAUAUGAACAUAAGACGAGAAGACCCUAUGGAGCUUUAGACGCUAGAGCAGACCAUGUUAAAGACCCCAAAAUAAAGGACUAAACUGAUUGAAUCCUGCUCCCCUGUCUUCGGUUGGGGCGACCGUGAGGAAAUUAAAAACCCUUCACGUGGAAUGGGAGCAAACUUAAUCCCAGCUGGAGAUACUUUUCUCCUAUGUCUCCCACAACUAAGAGCCACAGUUCUAGGUAACAGAAUAUUUGACCAAUAGAGAUCCGGCAAAGCCGAUUUACGGACCAAGUUACCCUAGGGAUAACAGCGCAAUCCCCUUUUAGAGCCCA